AGUCAUUUCCGAAGCAGCAUCGGUGAAGCACGCCGACCAGUACGGAACGGUUUCUAACAACCAGGAGCUUCGUGUAAAUUAAUUAGAGUGCUGAUCCAUGAAUAUAACCGCCUCGUUUUCCUUAUUGAAUGUUGCCACAAACUUUCAGUCUUAACAUCAGUUACUUUCCGUAGAAGGGAUCUGAACUGCCUGCCGCCGUUGUAAAGGGUUUAUACGAAAAGUGAAGUACAUCAGAAAUGACAAAAAAAGAAACAGUUAAUUUUUCACAGGUUGCGACACUGCCACUUCAUUCCUCCGAGUGCGAAGUUGAGGUUCACAGUAAAACUUUGCAUAAAAUUAGUAGAGCCAUUCAAAACAAACGUUCAACAUGACGUAAUAGGAAAUUUGUUUAUUUAACGGCAACGCAUAUGCACACAGUGUGUGUAGCACAUGAGAGUAUUUAAUUACUCUUCAGUCGCUCCAUCUUUUCAAGUUCUAAGGCAUAAAUAGGUGAGAAGGCGAAUCAGGGAGCAGACGAAACACUUCUAUAGCAAAUGAAAGUAAAGAAAUUCACCAAACGUGUGGAUGGAAGAGAACAAUAGCUAAGGUGAGUUUCGUAGCUGAUGCCGAUAGCUCUGUGUGCACACGACGUUCCUGUCCCUUCCGAUGUGAUAGUCGGGCAGAGGUUCGAGGAGACGCUUCAGUCUGCGCUGAAUGGGAUGCUGCUGGAUGGACAGCGGCUUCUGCCACUACCAGCUGCCUGCCACUACUCUCUUAAACGAUGAUGCUUACAGCCGUAGCUGAGGUCCCCAAAUGGGCUGAGCUCUUGAAUGCUCAACUUUAUGUUGACCUCAGUGUGGGGGCGCUGCUACACCGAGCGGGAGGGCUUGUCUCCCAUUGGAUGUUGCGGAUUACAGAGAGCCCUGUGGUAUGUCGUAUCCCACUGACGAGUCCUGAGAGGUAGUCCAAGGACUGUAAGAAUGCACGUCAAAAAAUUUACUUGACAGGAGGCCUCAUGGUCAUUGGCUGCCUUCUGUGCACUUGCUCCACUGAAAAGAGGAUGAGUUAGAAUACGGAACUCGGCUGGGAUCUCAGGGUCCACUGGAUGCAAUCAUAAAUUAUUGCAUGAGGAUAUGUACAAUAGAAGCACCUCUGGCACAUCCAUUGUAUAAACAGUUCUAUAUACAAAGUCUACUAACUGCCUUCUCAUAGCACCCUAAGUCCCAAUAUAGCAGAGGCGAGCGCACCAGACUGAGUGUUGACUACAUGGAAAUGAGUCUAAGUCCCCUCGUGGCUGCAUAGCACUGCACUACCAUCUCACAGCAUCAUAACUCCAGCUAAACCAUAUCUGACCGACUGACCAGCUGCUCCAUCACUGCCAAACAGUAUGGCUGCUAGCCUUUUUAUAGGCGGUAGUGCACCCGCCACCACUUGUUCUACAAGUUUCCAGUACUCUCGAGCAUUGCGUGUCUGUCACGCGGCAGCCCGUGAUGCCUACGUGACGAACAGGCCGUACUCUAUCUCCACUGUGUCCAAGGGUUGUGACGUGUAACGGUUCUCGAGCCUCGUGAUGCGGCAAAGUCCACUCUUGUUAGCAGAGUAAACAUUACACAUAAGUUACGUCCGGUCACAUCCGCCUCGCUGGUAGCAAGAAUUUCCAAGCCUACAUUUUACUUGAUUUUUAACCUUGUUUUCUAUUAUUCGCGACAGGUAUCGAUUCCCCUUCCCGUCUUUGGUGUGGCUCCGCGAUCUCUGGAUGACACUGUCGUGUCUUGAGAGAAGGAAAGCUAGAUGAGCGACAGAAGACCAUACCUUGAUUGAUGAAAUUCGAUGACAUUAACUGAUGGUGGGACACCUGGUGAUUCCCCUACCCUCAGCUGAGAAACAAGCUUUGAGAGGUGCAGAGUCUGUAACGUAGUAGGGCUACUCAGGAAACAGGGUAGAAGUGUUUCACUACCGAUGUGAGUUCAUUGCUUGGAAGUACAAUCCUAGUUACAAGCUCCUGUCUAUGUGGAACGAAGUAGACAUUCUCUAAGUCCGACACUCAAUCUGCUUUGGCCGAGGCUAGCGAAAUAAACAAAGUACAGCUCAGACUGACGAGCGUCGUAGAGAUGGCGACACCUGCUCAUUGCUCUCCCUUCAGUAAUACUGGCUGCUCUUAUCUUUUAUUUAUACGACUCCCUUAGCACACUGCCCUGCUAGAAGAUUCAGUGACGCUGCCGUUGAUGUGGUUGUUCACGGCCUUAGUGCAUGAUGCCAUCCAUAUUCGGCCAUUCUGGAAUUUUCCUCCCUUGCGACACCUGUAAGCUACAGCACGAGGGACUACCCAUGUAAGCUUCUGUUGCGCUUCACAGGGUUCAAUCAAUAUCAAAUAUUGAUUCACCGCUUCCGUUGUUAGAAUAGCCGCUCUGCUGCCUCUUGACCAAGAACUCCUUCCAAAAUGGAAGUAAUAAACUGGUUGGAAUAUUUCGUACAUUUGCACUACAUCCCUCUCCCAGGAAAGCUUGGACCUCCGAGGUUAUAAAAUUUUCGUUGCUUAGCCGUGCGUGCAAGUUGACUGUUUCAUAGCUUUAUUUCCUAACAACAUAACUGCGUACGACAAAGUGCGUUAGAACAGGUUCAUCAAGGAAAAUAGUCAUCAUACAAUAAAUCUCUUCGCCUUGCUCCAUUCACACGAACCAUUUAAAAUCACAGUUUUCACUAGUACAUAUUUUCGCACAAUACAGUCUCGCAUAGCAACGGAGUUACAAUUUUUCACGAGUAUGUGCCAUAUAAUACAUAGCUACACUUCGUUCUUGGAUAUAGGUUACAGUUUCACAUAACAUAAAAUUCUUAUUACUGCAAUCAUUGAUACCACAAGAGAGAUACACUUUUUAUAAUUACAUGCCGUAUAAUACAUCAGUACACAUUAUUUUUGGGAUGUAGAUGACAUAUCCACAUGAUGCACAGUUCAGUUUAUUCGAAUCAAUAGAAAUACACAUUCCGAAAUUGCAUACAGUAUAACACAUAAUUUUAUCUUUUGUCAGGACACAAUCUGGAUGGCUCUAUCGUGGACAUGUGAGCUGCUGUCUUUCUGGUAUACUGGGGUGUUUGCUUUCAUUCCUUCCACAACACUCGAUCAGGGAGGGUACUACGUCGAAUUGCUCUAGCAUCGUACUACACUAACUCUUCCUCUUCUCCGUAUUGUGCAGAUCGGGAAAAUGCGUAUGGGAGUGCUACUAAUCACUACCAUAGUAGUUACACAUACGUUAGAACUACACCAGUCUCCAACUUUACAAAGUUGUUAGCCACACUUCCAACAGGUCGUAAUUAAGAAACAGAGUAUUAUCGAACCAGCUUACCUCCACGUGGAGUGCUCGUUUCGAGAAGGUCGUACGUUUUUGGUACACUAUUUCACUUUGUAGAUCCUCUGUUUUAUGUCCAACGACCUUGAGCUCUUGUAAAUACUUAAGAUUAUAGAGAUCUGAAAUACCUCCCGUUACUCUUCCUCCACUAAGUAACAAUCUAUGUCUACGUUUAUCUUAGGUACUACGUCUAUGCACCAUAAGUCUUGCAUCUACUUAAAAAGCUUAGCUUGCCUGUAUCUCUCACAAUGAGGUCAGUAGGAGGUAGGUCGUUACACUUUACAAUCAAGCGUUGCUCCUUUGGGCCGACAUACAACCAUUAUCUCGUAUCUGCGUCCAGAUACUGCGUUCAAUACUAUGUAUUUACUAUCGUAAUCUUUAGUAAUUUCUCUUAUGAACUGCAGCAUCCGAGCUUCGCAUUGUUCGUAAUCGUAUGUGGACAUUAAUACGAAUUCUGCUUGCAUAUCUGAUGUCUUAGGGUGACUCUUUUGCAUAGAAGUUACUCACUGAACGGUUGCUCAUAAUGUCACUUCACUUCGUCUAUGAUCAGAAAUUCCUUUUUGGGUGCGAUAUAACUGAAUAAUCGCUUUGUCUCAUCCAAUUCAAGUGGUAGGGGCCAAACAUUAUAUAAGGUACACAUAUAAUGCUAUCGACUAAGGAUGCGGCAACACAGAACUCAAAUAUUACCUUAUAAAAAUACGUUUCCCGUGAGUCCAAAAGGAAAUUCCUUAUCUUUAAAAUGGUACUUAACCACUUCAGGACACUUAACAACCGGUACGGAAUAUAUCAAGUGUGGCUCCAACAGACAAUUUUGCGUGUUCGCUAUGACAGAAAUAUACAAAUCACAUUCACGUUUCAGUUCAUUAAACGUAGCCAUAAUUUGCACUAGUUGCUCUAUUACUGUUAUUAGAAUCAUGGUACGUUGUACCUUCUUAAUUCUACUGUUUUCGUAUUCGUCCACAUGAACGCUCAGUUUUCUAAUUUCUUCGGUAACAAUCUGCUCAUUUUUCGCCCACACGUUUGUAGUUUGAUUUACCCCUUUCAGUAGCGCUCUCGCCAUAAUUACUUGCUCCUUAGACAGUCGCAACAGGUCUCUCUGUUCUUGUUCUAACACUUCUAUCCCCCCCCCCCCCCCCUAAGGAAGGUUCCAUUAUCUUCUUCAAGUGUAGAAACAAUAUCGGUCCAUUAAAAAAACGCAUUUUAAAGGUACCAGUGACGCUCAAACUAGGAACCGAGGUCUUUAUUCCAGAGCAGAAAGAUAGACCAGGAAUCCCACAGGUGCAACAAGUAGCGCCAGAAACUGAGACAGAGAGAUGUUGCCCGAUGGCAUAAGUUCACCAAGCACCAGUUCCUGGAAUUUUCCCCUCCUCGUGAUCUCAAAGAAAUUAGAUACCAAUGGUUGGGAGAGGCGAAGUAAAGGGCACUUCAGGCACUGAUUGAGGAGGGGGAUCGCGAAAAGACAGCCUUUAGCAUACCAACAGGCCACUAUGAAUACAAUAAACUGCUUCAUCUACUUUUUAGCGAUUAAUGAAUACUGUGCUAACCGGAAUACAGGGGAGAAAAGAGUUCAUAUAUCUGAUGAUAAUGAUGUAAUGACCGCCUCGUUAGAUGGGCACAACGUGCGCCUAGAAGAAGUAUUCAGUCGGUUGCGAUGACGGAACUUGAAGUAGAUAAAUGCGAGUUUUCACUAAAGGAAGUUACAUUCCUGAGACAUGUACUACCUGUUUCAGGAUUAAAACCCGACCCUGAUAAGCUGGAGGUAAUAGAGAAAUACCACGAGCCAAGUGUUACAGCACAAUGAAAGUGUUUAUGGGCCUAAUUGGAUACUAUCGUCGAUUCGUGAGUAAUGUCAGUAAAACUGCGAAGCCACUACAUGACUUACUGAAAAAGAGGGUAGCAUAUGAGUGGGGCAGAUCACACGAGGAUAGUUUCUUCGUCUCGAACGGCCACUAUUGCUUCCUGUUCAUACACUCGUAGUUUAGCUUCUUGCUUUGGAAUAAAAACUUCAGUCCCUAGUCUGCGUGUCACUGGUACCUUUAAAAUUUGUUUUCCCAUGGGCCGAUCACCAUUUCCGCACGUGAAUCGCAAAUGGGUGUUCUCGUUAAAUGCGACUCCGGCUCUCUGUGGGUUUUUUUUUUUUUUAUUGCUCCAUUCGGUUGUUUUGCGCAAUUUCGGUUAUCUGUUCUGGGUCUGGCUACUGUAGCCUGCAAUGGCCCUUGCGGCGUCCGGACGGUCAUCUGUGCAGAGAGCUUAUCCUCGCGUAAGUCCCGGAGCAAGCCGUCAGUAUCGAGUCCCUAGACUGCCAUCGCAUCUGAGCCUGUUUGCCUUUAGAGUGUCGCAAAGCUAGGACUUACAGCUACUGUACUUCGAAUACUGUCAUAUUUCGUCACGAAAGCAUAACUAGAUCGUUGGGCCUCCUGUUUGCUAUUACUUUUGACUGCACGUUGAGCUAUGUGUGCAUCUUCUCGCACUUCCUGCAGUUUAACCCUCUCACUUCUUAUCCGCAACUCUCCGCAUGCUUAAUUCAGAACAACCUUGUUAUCCUCAAGGAAUUGUUUGCCCAACAAUCCAUCAAACGACUAACCAAUGCGUGCACCUAUGGAUUGGGAUUUAGUAACCCAUUCGGUACCUGAUCUCGUUUCCAGCCUUACUAGCGUCUGCCCUUCUGAUAGGAUCUCUUAAGUAGCUAUGCUUUUAAUCGUCACUGUCUUCCUGGAAUCCUGUUUCACCUGACCAUCCAAUACGUUGGCCCAACUUCUUUCUUGACGGUCUUAGGUGUAGCGACGAGGCCAGUGACACGUGAAACAAGUUACGGGUUUUGCUUUGGUGCAUGGACGAAUGUUCCAGGUGACAGUGCACUGCGUCCAUCUUAUGGGAGGAGUACAAUGAUACUUGAACCGUUUUCCGUAAAUUCAUGAACAUUCACUAUCUUGAUAGGUAAUCGCUUAUAUGCUCAGGCUUAGGUGGAAUUUCCUUAACAGUCUCUAUCAUGUGGACGGUAUACUUCUGUCCACACUCUCACGCUAGAUGGCCUCCUCUACCACAAUUAAAGCAUUUUUAGUCGGUCUUUCGUCCUUGCCAAUGCUCAGUCUCCACCUGGUAUUUCUAUUUGUCAGACGUAAUUGCACAUUCUUCAUUUGUGGCUCAAUCAAUAGUUUCUAAAAGUGUUAAUUUCUCACACUGAGCUUCGUCGCGUCCUCGCACAGCCUCACUAUACCAGAAUGAAGUAAGUGCGAACUGCUUAGAGCAAUCGGGACGUUAAUGACUAUGGGUUGGUUAUAAAUUGCUGCCAACCUUUAUAUCGGAGACGAGAGGGAGAGAAUCUCCUUGGUUUGAAGCAAAUAAGUUUUCUGAAAAUAGGUUGCAGAAUUACAAUAAGCAGAAAAGAUUGAUUAGUUUCUAUCAAGUUUAUUCUCAGAUAUACUUAUGUGAGGUGUUGGACCAUAAACCCUUAGUAAUAUUCAGUCUAUUUAUUCGGACUUACUACUUCAAAGCUAAUUGCCGGUACAUAUAAGAAACAAGUACAAAGCAAUCACUUGUUCUUGGUUAGCACUGAAAUCUCUCUAAGUAAUUGAGACAAAGACUGACAGCCUCUGUUCAACACUAUUCCAAUGAAACUCUAAAAAUCCUACUUGACCUGCAGUUCCUGAGUGUCCACCAGAGUAUAUCACCGUCUUCUCGCAGUUGAAGUCUUUAUCAGCUGUAUCGGGUGCUAGAGACUACUCAGCCCCACUGGCGUCUCGCUGCAGAAUCUCCAAACUGUCAGCACUGGCUCUGAAUCUGCAUCCGAAUCUCUGCUUCUAGCUACUAUUCCGCUGCCUGGCCUUUUAUUUCGUUUCUCAUGUACUUGGGUGCACGUGAGUUAAUUUGUUUCACACAACCCUUUAAUUUCUAAGUGAUCAGAUUGCACAAGAAUGCCCAUCGUUCCACACGACACUCUCGUUUCUAGCUGCACGCAACUUAAUUUGGUACCACACGAGUCUUUUCAGCCUGUGACUCACACUCUCUCUUGCUGUAUUGUCGCCCUGGUGUUUCCGUCUUCCAUUGUGCAACUUUGAUUCAUGCUGCUUCCUCUGGCAGGAAGUCAAGCACUAAGUUAUUUGAUCAACAAGCCAUACUUGGCAGCCUCCGCCACUUAUCUUGUCCCUACGUCCUGGUGGACUAUUUCUUAAUGUCGGCUGGCUGUUUGCCUAUGGAGCCUGGACUCUUAUUAUGGUCACAAAAGCAAGAAUAAAAAUUAAAAUUUUCUACGGUCACAACAGCUUACAGCACUGUCUUGAUUCGUUCAUUGUAUAAAAUUUGGAUAAACAUAGCUCUUCCUAACUUUCCAAUUAAUGCGUUGCUGCUGGACAUUUCUUCUUCCUCCAUGACUCUCCACAGGUCCCACUGAUGUGACCCUGCUUAGUGUCCACCCAAGAUUCCUACUGAAUGACACUUCCUUCCUUUCCCAGCCGACUACCGAACAUAGUACACGGGUAAUGAUCAAGAUUUAGCUUCUUCUCGUUAUUCUGUAACAGUAUUGCUUUCACAGGCGACCAGCUUUCAGUAUGAUGUCUGACUAACUUACACGGGCAGAGCUCGUUAUUUGACUAAUGAUAUAUUUUAGAAACACUUUCUUAGCUUUAGAUUCCGCUAAGCUAUAAGUGCUCUCGCAGUUGUCGUAAAACUCUGAAAGCUGUUCCCUGUCUUCAUCGAAUUUAGCCUAGUUUAGUAGCCUCACUAUAGUUAAGGUACUGCCUAUCUCCAUUGGAAGCUGACAUACUGUGGAAAUUGGCGUCAGAUGCCAUGUAUAUUGACCUUGAAGACUUGGCGAGCUGUUAAAUGCGCGGCUAAAGUGAGCUAUGCACCCACAGUGCUGAUGCAGUGCGCUGUCCUCAGAUUUGCUGAGCCUCCCGUUCAUUGUGGCAGUAGUGUGGGUCGAUGCCCUCUGGUAUGGUGAACCUCGUGCUGAUGGCGGUGGCAAGGCGCGACGCCCUCUAUUUCCUCCUCAAAACUGGCAAGGCAAGCAUCCAGACUUGGAUCAGGACUGAAUUCUACUGAAAUCCCUUGUUCUCCCUAUACGUAUUCCUGUACCCCGAAUCUCCUGUCUAAACACUCAAUAAAGUGCAUACCCCACAUUUGACAACACUUUUACAUGCCCUCUGUUGUGUCCUGAGAGGGAGUGAGAAAGACAGCUCGGUGAGUGACAGAAAUGCUUACCUCUGACAAUAAUAUUCGAUGAGUUUAUUGGUGGUGUGUUAUCCGCUGAUUCUCCAGUAGGGCGGAACUCAGUAGGUCUACUCAGGACACAGGUUAGACGUAUUUAAUUGCCAAUGUGAGUUCAUUGCUUGGAAAUACCCCAGGAACAUUGUCCUAGUUACAAGUUCUGAUCUAUGAUGAACUAACUCGACGUCCUCUAAGUCAAAUACGCGUCCUACUUUGGCUGAGGUUGGUGCAAUAAACUAAGUCCAGCUCAAACUGAUGAGCGUCAUGAAGACGGCAUCAUAUGAUCGUUGCUCGUACCGCUCUCCCUGCAAUAGCACAGUCAUGUCCUACUGAUACAGCUCCCUUUGCACACUGGCCUGCUAGAACGUUCGACGAAGUUGUCCUGGGUGUGGCUGGUCACGCAGUUAGUGCAAGAUGCCAUCCAAUUUUGCUAUUCUGGAAUUUUCCUUCCUUAUGACCCCUGUAAGCUAGAGCAUGAGAGGCUAUUCAUGUAUUCUACUGCUGCAUCACUUGAGCACUAUCGAUAUCAAAUAUUGGUUCGCUGCUUUCGUUUUUAGAACACGUGCUUUACUGCCUCUUGACGAAGAACUUCUACCAAAACUGAAUUAAGGAAAUGAUCGAAAUAUUUCUCACAUUCGCGAGAAUACCACAAACCUGUGGUAUAUAUAGUGCAUUAGCAAUUGCUACAGAUAGACUGUGUAGUUGGCACCCAGUAAGAGAGGCAUACUAUGACCAACUUUGCUGAUUAUUUGCGCAACAGCAGUCUAAAUAUAAAGCAAGUGGAGCAAUGUGUCAAUGCCUGUACCAAAGUGUGUAAGUGUUGAAACUAUAACUAUAAAAGAAGUGGAGGCUGAAUUUACAGAGGGUAUUCCAAUGCAGUAUUCGAUGUAAUACAGGCUGAAUGUAAGGCCUGUACAAGACAGAUGUUUUUGAAAUACUGUACCGCAACACAAUGACUUUAAAUAAACAAUUGUUGUUAUUUCCUUCCA